ACAUACGUCGGAUAAAGAUCUGAUCCUGACCCUGACCUGCAGAUUGACUUCUUGGCUUGACCUCGGAC
rnacentral:lncRNA from 1 species